GAUGAACGCUGGCGGCGUGCCUAAUACAUGCAUUUCGAGCGAACGGACGAGAAGCUUGCUUUUCUGAUGUUAGCGGCGGACGGGUGAGUAACACGUGGAUAACCUACCUAUAAGACUGGGAUAACUUCGGGAAACCGGAGCUAAUACCGGAUAAUAUUUUGAACCGCAUGGUUCAAAAGUGAAAGACGGUCUUGCUGUCACUUAUAGAUGGAUCCGCGCUGCAUUAGCUAGUUGGUAAGGUAACGGCUUACCAAGGCAACGAUGCAUAGCCGACCUGAGAGGGUGAUCGGCCACACUGGAACUGAGACACGGUCCAGACUCCUACGGGAGGCAGCAGUAGGGAACCUUCCGCAAUGGGCGAAAGCCUGACGGAGCAACGCCGCGUGAGUGAUGAAGGUCUUCGGAUCGUAAAACUCUGUUAUUAGGGAAGAACAUAUGUGUAAGUAACUGUGCACAUCUUGACGGUACCUAAUCAGAAAGCCACGGCUAACUACGUGCCAGCAGCCGCGGUAAUACGUAGGUGGCAAGCGUUAUCCGGAAUUAUUGGGCGUAAAGCGCGCGUAGGCGGUUUUUUAAGUCUGAUGUGAAAGCCCACGGCUCAACCGUGGAGGGUCAUUGGAAACUGGAAAACUUGAGUGCAGAAGAGGAAAGUGGAAUUCCAUGCGUAGCGGUGAAAUGCGCAGAGAUAUGGAGGAACACCAGUGGCGAAGGCGACUUUCUGGUCUGUAACUGACGCUGAUGUGCGAAAGCGUGGGGAUCAAACAGGAUUAGAUACCCUGGUAGUCCACGCCGUAAACGAUGAGUGCUAAGUGUUAGGGGGUUUCCGCCCCUUAGUGCUGCAGCUAACGCAUUAAGCACUCCGCCUGGGGAGUACGACCGCAAGGUUGAAACUCAAAGGAAUUGACGGGGACCCGCACAAGCGGUGGAGCAUGUGGUUUAAUUCGAAGCAACGCGAAGAACCUUACCAAAUCUUGACAUCCUUUGACAACUCUAGAGAUAGAGCCUUCCCCUUCGGGGGACAAAGUGACAGGUGGUGCAUGGUUGUCGUCAGCUCGUGUCGUGAGAUGUUGGGUUAAGUCCCGCAACGAGCGCAACCCUUAAGCUUAGUUGCCAUCAUUAAGUUGGGCACUCUACGUUGACUGCCGGUGACAAACCGGAGGAAGGUGGGGAUGACGUCAAAUCAUCAUGCCCCUUAUGAUUUGGGCUACACACGUGCUACAAUGGACAAUACAAAGGGCAGCGAAACCGCGAGGUCAAGCAAAUCCCAUAAAGUUGUUCUCAGUUCGGAUUGUAGUCUGCAACUCGACUACAUGAAGCUGGAAUCGCUAGUAAUCGUAGAUCAGCAUGCUACGGUGAAUACGUUCCCGGGUCU
rnacentral:rRNA from 1 species